rnacentral:rRNA from 1 species
AUUGAACGCUAGCGGGAUGCUUUACACAUGCAAGUCGAACGAGUGGCGGACGGGUGAGUAAUGUAUCGGAACCUGCCCGGUGGCGGGGGAUAACUACUGGACAGGGUGGCUAAUACCGCAUACCAUCGGAGCGGCCGAGAUGGGAUUAGCGAGUUGGUGGGGUAAAGGCUCACCUAGGCCACGAUCCGUAGCUGGUUUGAGAGGACGACCAGCCACACUGGGACUGAGACACGGCCCAGACUCCUACGGGAGGCAGCAGUGGGGAAUGUUGGACAAUGGGGGCAACCCUGAUCCAGCCAUGCCGCGUGUAUGAGAAGGCCUUCGGGUUGUAAAGUACUUUCGGCAGAGAAGCGUUAUCUGCAGAAUAAGCACCGGCUAACUACGUGCCAGCAGCCGCGGUAAUUC